UAAGGCGCGCAAAAUCUGUUUUCAAAUCAUACUCUCCCUAACAAUUCAAGAUGAAAGUAUUCCUGUGCCUUAUUGUUGCAUCGAUCGCGGGCCUUGCUGCCUCAGAUUAUGCACACAUUAGCUAUUCUACACUGUCGGGUACAGCCGAGCCAUUCCAUACUACUAAUCUGACUAUAAGAUUAGGAUAUGACUUCACCUUCUAUGAUACUAUGAGACUACAAUCCUGGUUCGAUGAAGAACAUUUUGGAUUUGAAACACUCGAUUCUGCAAAGGGCAAAGUUGUAUUGAGUAUUGGAGGACUGACAAACGAUUAUGACGAGAGAGUUGCCUGGCAGCUCUACAUUUUACCCGAAUAUCCAACUGAAUGGGGGAGAAUUCCUGAUGAUUCCUUCAGAGCAAACAAUACAGUUGAUAAUAUUGUAAUUGAAGAUAAUCAACAUUUUCUCUUCAUUUACUUAGAAAUCAGGAACGAGACAAUGCAUUAAACUUUUCGAAAUAUAAAAUACUUUAGCAUUUAAAA